rnacentral:rRNA from 1 species
UUGGAGGGCAAGUCUGGUGCCAGCAGCCACGGUAAUUCCAGCUCCAAUAGCGUAUAUUAAAGUUGUUGCAGUUAAAAAGCUCGUAGUUGAAUUUCGGGGUCAGCAGGUUGGUCGUGCCUAUGGUAUGCACUGGCCUUGCUGAUUCCUCCCUCUUGAUGAGCCGUAAUGUCAUUAAUUUGGUGUUGCGGGGAAUCAGGACUGUUACUUUGAAAAAAUUAGAGUGUUUAAAGCAGGCAAGCGCUUGAAUACAUUAGCGUGGAAUAAUGAAAUAGGACGUUUGAUCCUAUUUUGUUGGUUUCUAGGAUUGACGUAAUGAUUAAUAGGGAUAGUUGGGGGCAUUAGUAUUCAAUUGUCAGAGGUGAAAUUCUUGGAUUUAUUGAAGACUAACUACUGCGAAAGCAUUUGCCAAGGAUGUUUUCAUUAAUCAAGAACGAAAGUUAGGGGAUCGAAGACGAUCAGAUACCGUCGUGGUCUUAACCAUAAACUAUGCCGACUAGGGAUCGGAUGAUGUUAAUUUUUUAAUGACUCAUUCGGCACCUUACGGGAAAC